UUUCCGUAGGUGAACCUGCGGAAGGAUCAUUGUCGUGACCCUUAAACAAAACAGACCGCGAACGCGUCAUCCAUGUCGCCGGGCCUCGGCUCGGCUAGGCCCCCCGACCUCCGUUCCGGGGGAGAGGGGCCGCAAAAGAACCCACGGCGCCGAAGGCGUCAAGGAACACCGAUAUUGCCUUGCUCGGGGCCGUGGCCGGCUUGCCGGCUGCUUCCCGCGCAGCGAUCAUAUCUUAACCAACACGACUCUCGGCAACGGAUAUCUCGGCUCUCGCAUCGAUGAAGAACGUAGCAAAAUGCGAUACCUGGUGUGAAUUGCAGAAUCCCGUGAACCAUCGAGUUUUUGAACGCAAGUUGCGCCCGAGGCCUUCUGGCCGAGGGCACGCCUGCCUGGGCGUCACGCCAAAAGACACUCCCAAAACCCAUCCUCGGGGACGGGACGUGGUGUUUGGCUCCCCGUGCCGCAAGGCGCGGUGGGCCGAAGUUGGGGCUGCCGGCGUACCAUGCCGGGCACAGCACGUGGUGGGCGACAUGAAGUUGUUCUCGGUGCAGCGCCCCGGCACGCAGCUGGCUUGUCGGCCCUAUGGACCCAUCUACCGUGGCGCUUCGCCGCUCGGACCGCGACCYCAG
rnacentral:misc_RNA from 1 species